rnacentral:rRNA from 1 species
UGGUGGGAUAAAAGCUUACCAAGCCGACGAUCUGUAGCUGGUCUGAGAGGACGACCAGCCACACUGGGACUGAGACACGGCCCAGACUCCUACGGGAGGCAGCAGUGGGGAAUUUUGGACAAUGGGCGCAAGCCUGAUCCAGCCAUGCCGCGUGCAGGAUGAAGGCCUUCGGGUUGUAAACUGCUUUUGUACGGAACGAAAAGACUCUGGUUAAUACCUGGGGUCCAUGACGGUACCGUAAGAAUAAGCACCGGCUAACUACGUGCCAGCAGCCGCGGUAAUACGUAGGGUGCGAGCGUUAAUCGGAAUUACUGGGCGUAAAGCGUGCGCAGGGCGGUUAUAUAAGACAGAUGUGAAAUCCCCGGGCUCAACCUGGGAACUGCAUUUGUGACUGUAUAGCUAGAGUACGGCAGAGGGGGAUGGAAUUCCGCGUGUAGCAGUGAAAUGCGUAGAUAUGCGGAGGAACACCGAUGGCGAAGGCAAUCCCCUGGGCCUGUACUGACGCUCAUGCACGAAA